rnacentral:misc_RNA from 1 species
UUUCCGUAGGUGAACCUGCGGAAGGAUCAUUAUUGUAUAACCGAGGUGCGAGGGCUGUCGCUGACCCGAAAGGUCGUGCACGCCCGAGUGCCCUCACACACAUCCAUCUCACCCCUAUGUGCACCACCGCGUGGGUCCCCCUUUGGCUUGUUCGGAGGGGGGCUUACGUUUUCACACAAACUUUGUAUGCAGUGUAGAAUGUAUUUUUUGUUUUUGCGAUCACGCAAUCAAUACAACUUUCAACAACGGAUCUCUUGGCUCCCGCAUCGAUGGAGAACGCAGC